rnacentral:rRNA from 1 species
GUGGGGAAUAUUGGACAAUGGGUGGAACCCUGAUCCAGCCAUGCCGCGUGUGUGAAGAAGGCCUUUUGGUUGUAAAGCACUUUAAGCGAGGAGGAGGCUACCGAGAUUAAUACUCUUGGAUAGUGGACGUUACUCGCAGAAUAAGCACCGGCUAACUCUGUGCCAGCAGCCGCGGUAAUACAGAGGGUGCAAGCGUUAAUCGGAUUUACUGGGCGUAAAGCGCGCGUAGGUGGCCAAUUAAGUCAAAUGUGAAAUCCCCGAGCUUAACUUGGGAAUUGCAUUCGAUACUGGUUGGCUAGAGUAUGGGAGAGGAUGGUAGAAUUCCAGGUGUAGCGGUGAAAUGCGUAGAGAUCUGGAGGAAUACCGAUGGCGAAGGCAGCCAUCUGGCCUAAUACUGACACUGAGGUGCGAAAGCAUGGGGAGCAAACAGGAUUAGAUACCCUAGUAGUCC